UACAGAGGGUGCGAGCGUUGUCCGGAAUCACUGGGCGUAAAGGGCGCGUAGGUGGCGGGCCAAGUCCAUGGUGAAAGCUCGAUGCUCAACAUCGAGUCGGCCACGGAUACUGGUUCGCUGGAGCACUGUAGAGGCAGAUGGAAUUCCGGGUGUAGCGGUGGAAUGCGUAGAGAUCCGGAAGAACACCGGUGGCGAAGGCGGUCUGCUGGGGCAGUUGCUGACACUGAGGCGCGACAGCGUGGGGAGCA
rnacentral:rRNA from 1 species